GGCGCUAUAGUGUAGUGGUUAUCACUUGGGAUUCUGACGAGCGUUGAGGGUGUUCCCAAAACCCAGGUUCGAGCCCUGGUAGCGCCU